CUGACAGGCUAACCACAACAAAAUAAAGGUGAUACAUUGUCAUGAUUACAGGGAACACGUUCUGUCAAACUCGCAAGAAAUGUGCGUAGAUAAAAAUUGGAUUCUUAAAGAGUUAUUUGGUAAGGUAAGAAUUGUCAGGAAUUUAAAAUUAAUUUCAAAAUUUACGUCAAAAUAAACAAUUUUGUUGGUAGUUUGAUUAUUUUGGCUUUAACCCCUU